rnacentral:tRNA from 1 species
GCUGCGGUUGUUUAAUCGGUAAAACACCCUCCCUGCUAAGGAGGUAAAAUGGCGGUUCGAAUCCGCCCCGCAGUU